rnacentral:rRNA from 1 species
UACGUAGGGUGCGAGCGUUGUCCGGAAUUACUGGGCGUAAAGAGCUCGUAGGUGGUUUGUCGCGUUGUUCGUGAAAACUCACAGCUUAACUGUGGGCGUGCGGGCGAUACGGGCAGACUGGAGUACUGCAGGGGAGACUGGAAUUCCUGGUGUAGCGGUGGAAAUGCGCAGAUAUCAGGAGGAACACCGGUGGCGAAGGCGGGUCUCUGGGCAGUAACUGACGCUGAGGAGCGAAAGCGUGGGGGAGCGAACAGG